rnacentral:rRNA from 1 species
GUGUCAGCAGCCGCGGUAAAACGUAGGUCCCGAGCGUUGUUCGGAUUCACUGGGUGUAAAGGGCGCGUAGGUGGUUGUCUGUGUCUCAUGUGAAAACUCAGGGCUCAACUCUGAGAUUGCGUGGGAAACUAGGCAGCUAGAGGACGGUAGAGGGGAGUGGAAUUCCCGGUGUAGCGGUAAAAUGCGUAGAUACCGGGAGGAACACCAGUGGCGAAGGCGGCUUUCUGGCUCACAACUGACGCUCAGGCGCGAAAGCUGGGGGAGCAAACAGGAUUAGAUACCCUGGUAGUCCUAGCCGUAAACGAUGGGUGCUAGGUGUUGGGGGGUAAAGACCCUUCAGUGCCGAAGCUAACGCGAUAAGCAUCCCACCUGGGGAGUACGGCCGCAAGGUUGAAACUCAAAGAAAUUGGCGG